GACGAACGCUGGCGGCGUGCUUAACACAUGCAAGUCGAACGAAGUGGCGAACGGGUGAGUAAUACGUGAGUAACCUGCCCUCCUUUUUGGGAUAAGCCUUGGAAACGGGGUCUAAUACCGAAUAAAGGGGGAUGGGCUCGCGGCCUAUCAGCUUGUUGGUGGCGUGAUGGCCUACCAAGGCGGUGACGGGUAGCCGGCCUGAGAGGGUGACCGGAGACGUUGGGGGUGAGAUACCGCCCAGAGUCAUAUGCGAGGCUGGGGUGGGGGAUAUUGCAUAACGUGCGAAUAGCUGUUGCGGCGACGUUGCGUAGGGGAUGCAGGCUGUCGGGUGGUACAUCUCUGUCGCUAGCGAACGGGUAUGUGGCGAAGAAGCGACGGCUAACUACGUGCCAGCAGCCGCGGUAAUUC
rnacentral:rRNA from 1 species